CGUCACUAGCUCAUGGACUCUUGCCAAUAUGAAAGAAAUUAAUUUAUCAGAUAAAUUCUUACAUAAAUUAUGUUUUCAUGAUUCAGAUGGAAUGUUAAAAAUUGUAUGUUCUAAUUUGCUUUAUUCUUUAGGCAUCCUUUGUUGAAUAGCCAUACACAGGGGUGAGCCAAUUACAUGAGGCAUCUGUGUGCAGCCACCAAUCAGCAGCUAAUAAGCCUGUCUAGUUAUGCUUUUCAACAAAUGAUAUCAAGUGAAUAAAGCAAAUUAGAUAAUAGAAGUAAAUUGGAAGGUUGUUUUAAACUGUAUUCUCUAUCUGAAUCAUGAAAGAAAACAUUUGGGUUUUAUGUCACUUUAAGUAUCUAUACCUACCAACCUUAGCAGAUAUUCUGUUAUACAGUCAAUGUGUAUAUUGAGUUUUAACAUUAAAGGGACAGUCAAAAUUAAAACUUUCAUGAUUCAUAAGAAAAUUUAUAUAUUAAGAAAUUGUAUGCUCUGUCAUGAAAGAAAAACUUGGGGUUACAUGUCCCUUUAAAGGGAUAAACAGGUCAAAAUUGAAAUAUUCAUGGGUGCAUUUCAGUUUUAAAUAGAAGUAUUUUUGUGAUAUACUUCCAUCAGCAGAAAUGCUUCUAGCAAGUGUUACUGUUUUCAGCAGCGUAUGCGCAUAUGAUGUGAGAGCCCGUACCCCACACUUCAUAGAGCUGGUGGUGUGUAUUGGACCUGUGAAGGCAAUGCCAUACAAGCCAUUGCGGACUCUCAGAACAACUGAUGUUUGAAUACUGGUGCACGGGCCUGCACAGCAUAUGUGUGUAUGCAACUGAAAACAAUAAUAGCUUUUACUAGAAGAAUGUUUGCUAAUUGAAGUGUGUUGCAAAAAAUGCUUCUAUUCAAAAUGGAAAUGCAUUUCAGGUUUGACCUUUCUAUUCCUUUAAUAUUUUGAUAAUUUUAUCAUAUUUCAGCUGAAACAUUUAAAUCCCUACAGUUUACCUUUUAUAUGGAGACGUUGUGCAACAAAAAUUGAAAUAAUAAGCUUGCUUCAUUUUAGUAGCAAUAAAGGCUACUUUCGAAUUUCUGUAUUUCCCACUUAUUGGAAUGAAGUGAUUUUUAUUGUUUUACCUCUACUAGUAUUUGUGGUUGCAACCUAAUUUUAGAGGGAUACAAAUAACUAACAUACUAUUUUAUUGACCAUAUAAAAUCUACAUAAGGAAGCAACUCUACUGUAUAAGCACAAACACCAGUUAAAUAUCCUCUUUAAGGAACUACAAGGAAAAUAAUUUAAAGGGCACUUUUUUGCGUGGAAAGUUGCUUAUUUAUUUAUGCAGUACCGGUAGUAACUUAUUUCCCUUAAUACAUAGCAUUGCAUGUUAAUGUGGAGUGUGUAUUUGUAUUCACAUGCACACAGUGUUAGAAAAUAUCACAGUAACGGUACAGGUCUGCUCGGCAUAACACACAGGAAAUAGCCUAAUUUCUCACUUUAUUUAAAUUUGUUCCUAGUGCAUAACUCGUGGAAAUUUUAUAUAGCUGGUGGGGGAGAGAGGGCUCCUGAGAAGCUUCUGCCUAGGGGUUUUACCAAGGUAAAUCUGGCCCUGAUUAAAAAUUCAGAUGGCUUAGAGAUUUGUAUACACUUUCAGGAUUUUAGAAUCUGAAUUCACUUUGUACUAAGCUAAUAUGUUUACAGUAGGGAAGAAUACAUUUAUAAAUUAAUUUGACUGCAAUGUAUAAGAAUUAUAUCUGCCUUUAGAGCAUGUUUAAAUUUGAGAUUGCGAAAGAAUGAUGCUGUUAUUGUCUUUCGAAGGGUAAUAUAGUCACCCUUUGAAGCCCACUGAAGAUGGUAUGCAGAAUAUUGAAGAACUUCCCACAUCUUUUGUUAAGAUUCGGAACAUCCCUAGCAGGCUUGUUACUAAGUACAGACCAUGUAAUAUCAGGUUGAAAUGAAAACGGAAAAUAAAGACAAAUACUAGGACAAAAUAAAAAACCUGCUGCUUCAACCCACGAUUCAGAGAGAGCAUGCAAUUGUAAACCACUUUCAAUAUCAAAAUGUGCACAAUCUUUUUACACACACACUGAGGCACUAGCUCCUACUGAUAAUGUGCAUGAAAUGACAGUAUAUACAUAUGCAUUUUGUGAUUGCCCGAUAGCUGUCACGAUACAGGGGGAAGGAAAGUUGAACUGACUGAAAUUUGUCUGGAAAUAAAAAAAAAUCUACACAUUUGA